CACGGGGGGGGCAAGCGUUGUUCGGAAUUACUGGGCGUAAAGGGUGCGUAGGCGGCGCGGUAAGUCGGGUGUGAAAUCUCGGAGCUUAACUCCGAAACUGCAUUCGAUACUGCCGUGCUUGAGGACUGGAGAGGAGACUGGAAUUUACGGUGUAGCGGUGAAAUGCGUAGAUAUCGUAAGGAAGACCAGUGGCGAAGGCGGGUCUCUGGGCAGUUCCUGACGCUGAGGCACGAAGGCCAGGGGAGCAAACGGG
rnacentral:rRNA from 1 species